rnacentral:rRNA from 1 species
CAGGUCCCGUCAAUUCCUUUAAGUUUGUCCACCGUCCAUCCGCGGAAAUUCGCAUUGAUGUAGUUGGACGCCGUGUCCAGGUCGGUCUGCGUUAAGUCCUGCUGCCUCCCGUAGGAGUACUCCUACGGGAGGCAGCAGUGGGGAAUAUUGGACAAUGGGGGCAACCCUGAUCCAGCAAUGCCGCGUGAGUGAUGAAGGCCUUCGGGUUGUAAAGCUCUUUUGCCAGGGACGAUGAUGACGGUACCUGGAGAAUAAGCCCCGGCUAACUUCGUGCCAGCAGCCGCGGUAAUACGAAGGGGGCAAGCGUUGUUCGGAGUUACUGGGCGUAAAGGGCGCGUAGGCGGCGCACCAAGUCAGGCGUGAAAGCCCUGGGCUCAACCCGGGAAUUGCGCUCGAUACUGGCUCGCUAGAGUGUGAUAGAGGAUGGUGGAAUUCCCGGUGUAGCGGUGAAAUGCGUAGAGAUCGGGAGGAACAUCAGUGGCGAAGGCGGCCAUCUGGAUCAACACUGACGCUGAGGCACGAAAGCGUGGGGAGCAAACAGGAUUAGAUACCCUGGUAGUCCACGCCCUAAACGAUGCGAACUGGAUGUUGGUCUCAACUCGGAGAUC